rnacentral:rRNA from 1 species
UACGUAGGGUGCAAGCGUUAUCCGGAUUUAUUGGGCGUAAAGGGCUCGUAGGCGGUUCGUCGCGUCCGGUGUGAAAGUCCAUCGCUUAACGGUGGAUCCGCGCCGGGUACGGGCGGGCUUGAGUGCGGUAGGGGAGACUGGAAUUCCCGGUGUAACGGUGGAAUGUGUAGAUAUCGGGAAGAACACCAAUGGCGAAGGCAGGCCUCUGGGCCGUUACUGACGCUGAGGAGCGAAAGCGUGGGGAGCGAACAGG